GUGCUCAUUUCAGCAGCAUAAAUACUAAAAUUGGAAGGAUACAGAGAAGAUUAGCAUGGUCCCUGUUCAAGGAUGACAUGCAAAUUCGUGAAGAGUUUCUUUUUUUG
rnacentral:snRNA from 1 species